CCUGCGGGAGGGGAAAGCUCUGGUGGGGCGCGCGGGUACGGCGGUGAAUCCCCGUGCCGUUCGGGUGCAGCGGUGCGUCGGUGAGACUUCGCUCCGCAAGUCCUGCUGCAGCUCGCUCUGCGCUCCUUGUCCAGAACGGGAGGAGGCUGAGCCGCAGACGGACCUGUGCGUUUCCCUUACGCGGUGCAGUCACUGGGCCAACACAUCACAUCAACCCGUCGCACCCGCUGGGCUGACCCACCACACUGCCCCAUCGUGCUGACACAUUGGGCUGACCCACCAGGCUUACGGGGCACUUAGCAGAAGGCAAGCUCGCUCUGCGCUCCUUGUCCAGAACGGGAGGAGGCUGAGCCGCAGACGGACCUGUGCGUUUCCCUUACGCGGUGCAGUCACUGGGCCAACACAUCACAUCAACCCGUCGCACCCGCUGGGCUGACCCACCACACUGCCCCAUCGUGCUGACACAUUGGGCUGACCCACCAGGCUUACGGGGCACUUAGCAGAAGGCAAACACCCCGAUAACCGUUCUUGGGACUUUUGUGGGAGUCUUCCCAGAGCCAAAAGAAAGGCAAGAAUAUCGCCCUUGGACUGGAGCGAAACCAUCUAAGCCCAUAAAGACGAAGCAAGGCUUCAUUAUCCCAGAUGACCAUUUUGUUCAGGAGACAAGUUACAAGGCAGACUAUAAGGCGCCGUCGCGGAUCCUCAACGUGUGACGCUGUGCCUUCCUCGCACCAGGCAGCGGCACAGCGGUGCUUCCGACUGGAUGCGUCUCUAUGCAAUUUUCACGAGGAGCGCUGGGAUCAGAGAACCGACGUCAGCAGGAGCGGCUCCAGCGACUGGGGAUGGGCACUCUCCUGUGAGCGCACAGAUUGUGAAGCGCUCCAUUCAGAGCCGGCAAAGCACGCGGCAAGGCGUGACCCAGUUCCUUAGGGAGCGAGUUCCUCGCCGUGCCAGCCGGCGGCACGCUGGGAGGCUGACAGGGCAGCACAGCCGGCGAGGCACGCAGCAACCCUCUGCUCUGCUGCGGGCAACGGGGGGGAGAAGUCACUAACAGGAGCGAGAACUAAAACCAAACCCCCAGAGCGGCGCGGGGCAGGGAGCACCUGCCUGACUUCUCAGCUUGUAGAGCUGCCUCCUGCACCUCUCAGCACCAGACCCCAGCACGGGAGGGCUGCUCUGAACCCACGGGGUUGCUGGAGCCGCUGGCAGCUCCGCGCUGGCUGUGCUGGGGGGCUGUGUGCAGGGCAGCUGUGUGUGCAGGGCAGUGAGCGCACACCGAGCUUCGGUGGGUGUAGAAUACUUGUGGGUUGGAUGUAAAUAUUGCACCUGGAUUUUACCUAAAGCAGUUUGUGAUCCUUUAAGGAAGAGGACGUGCUUCUACGUUUAAUAAAUGUUAACUCUUUGCAUAUGCGAGGUAGAAA
rnacentral:lncRNA from 1 species